rnacentral:rRNA from 1 species
UUGACUCACGCGGGCAAUCUUACCGGGUCCGGACACACUGAGGAUUGACAGAUAUACGCUGCGUUAUGUCUCUCACGGGACUGCGUGGCUCAAAGAUGCUAGUUCUUUCAUGAUUAUGUGAUAGGUGGUGCAUGGCCGUUCUUAGUUCGUGGAGUGAUCUGUCUGCUUAAUUGCGUAUCAAUAAUAGAGACCUAGUAUACGUGCAUUACUCAUGUGGUAGUGACCCCCUCUUCGCGGAGGCGCGUGUCGCACAUAUGGUAUGCGCACUGGUCUCAGAUAGCAACGAACGUGACCGUAUUCUAUUGUUGCAGUGAAUUAUACGUGCUGCUCUUUACCGAGUUAGUUACAUCCCACUGCUUAGGGGGCGCGGCGUAUUUCGGUACUCGCGUCACACAUUAAACUAUAAAGACCGUUGUUUCUUCUUUAAACCAGAGGAAGGAUAC